rfam:Ixodes scapularis strain Wikel colony gcontig_1108379197810, whole genome shotgun sequence.
GGAGUCGUAGCCGAGUGGUUAAGGUGAUGGACUAGAAAUCCAUUGGGGUCUCCCCUCACAGGUUUGAAUCCUGUCGAGUGCG